UCUGGUGUCCUAAGCGUAGAGGAAUAACACUAAUCCAUCCUGAACUUGGUGGUUAAACUCUACUGCGAUGACAAUACUGUAGGAGAGGUCCUACAGAAAAAUAGCUCGACGCCAGGA
rnacentral:rRNA from 1 species